rnacentral:lncRNA from 1 species
UUGCAGAACUAAAGUAACGCAAGCAGGGCUUGGAGCACCGCGCUGAUGAGUUUCAGGGCUGAAUAGCUAUCUGUGUGGGUGUGAAUAAAUGUGGACCAUUCAUGGCAGCAUCUGGUGUGGAAACCUUUGGGAAUUGCCAGUUGGGGACGAACAGCUGAGCCUUCUCUUCACACCCACCUUCGGAAGGUUCAGCCCUCUUGUGAACGAUGUGUAAAAGUAGCGUCCUUGGAGCUUCAUACCUUCAGCAACACUUCAGUUUCCUGCACAGAAACCCCACACUCACCAUUUGAAUCUCUGCAUUACAAAUGGUGUCGUCACAAGAUUGUGGCUCUUUGACCUGAACUUGAGGUACAUCUCAUUCUUUCAUCGUCGGUUUUGUUAGUCAACAACAACGUUAACGAUUUUUUAGCUGGAUCAGGAGCUAAGAGAAGCACAUCUCUUGGCGGUCUCACCAUCGAACUGUAUGAAAACAAUUUCUGCUAGAAGGUUAAGGUUUUCGAGCAUUCAGGAAUGAAGAUGAGGUUGCAGAACUAAAGUAACGCAAGCAGGGCUUGGAGCACCGCGCUGAUGAGUUUCAGGGCUGAAUAGCUAUCUGUGUGGGUGUGAAUAAAUGUGGACCAUUCAUGGCAGCAUCUGGUGUGGAAACCUUUGGGAAUUGCCAGUUGGGGACGAACAGCUGAGCCUUCUCUUCACACCCACCUUCGGAAGGUUCAGCCCUCUUGUGAACGAUGUGUAAAAGUAGCGUCCUUGGAGCUUCAUACCUUCAGCAACACUUCAGUUUCCUGCACAGAAACCCCACACUCACCAUUUGAAUCUCUGCAUUACAAAUGGUGUCGUCACAAGAUUGUGGCUCUUUGACCUGAACUUGAGGUACAUCUCAUUCUUUCAUCGUCGGUUUUGUUAGUCAACAACAACGUUAACGAUUUUUUUCCUGCCUUUGAUGAACCACCGUAAUGAAACUAGUGUAACCAUUGUUAGCCCAAUAGGAUCAAGUCUUCACCACACCAU